GACGAACGCUGGCGGCGUGCUUAACACAUGCAAGUCGAGCGGUAAGGCCCUUUCGGGGUACGACGAGCGGCGAACGGGUAGGAGUAACACGUGGGUGGACCUCGCCCUCCAGCUCUGGGAGUAAGCCUCGGGAAACGUAGGGUCGUAAUAACUGGAUAUGACUCCACGGUGCAUGUCGUGGGGUGGAAAGACCUUGUGCGGCUGAGGAUGGGCCCGGCCGGCCUAUCAGCUUGUUGGUGGGGUGAUGGCCUACCAAGGCGACGAC
rnacentral:rRNA from 1 species